rnacentral:rRNA from 1 species
ACGCUCGACACCUACGGGGGCAGCAGUGGGGAAUAUUGCACAAUGGGGGAAACCCUGAUGCAGCGACGCCGCGUGAAGGAAGAAGUAUUUCGGUAUGUAAACUUCUAUCAGCAGGGAAGAAACUGACGGUACCUGACUAAGAAGCACCGGCUAAAUACGUGCCAGAAGCCGCGGUAAUCUGAGCGGGCUGGCAAGGC